rnacentral:rRNA from 1 species
CCUGCUCAGAUUGAACGCUGGCGGCAGGCCUAACACAUGCAAGUCGAGCGAGAAAGCACUUCGGUGUGAGUACAGCGGCGGACGGGUGAGUAACGCGUAGGAAUCUACCUGGUAGUGGGGGACAACAUGUGGAAACGCAUGCUAAUACCGCAUACGACCUAAGGGUGAAAGUGGGGGACCUUCGGGCCUCACGCUAUCGGAUGAGCCUGCGUAGGAUUAGCUUGUUGGUGAGGUAAGAGCUCACCAAGGCGACGAUCCUUAGCUGGUCUGAGAGGAUGAUCAGCCACACUGGGACUGAGACACGGCCCAGACUCCUACGGGAGGCAGCAGUGGGGAAUAUUGCGCAAUGGGCGAAAGCCUGACGCAGCCAUGCCGCGUGUGUGAAGAAGGCCUUAGGGUUGUAAAGCACUUUCAAUUGGGAAGAAAGGUUGUACGUUAAUAGCGUGCAGCUGUGACAUUACCUUUAGAAGAAGGACCGGCUAACUCCGUGCCAGCAGCCGCGGUAAUACGGAGGGUCCGAGCGUUAAUCGGAAUUACUGGGCGUAAAGCGCGCGUAGGCGGCUUGUUAAGUCGGAUGUGAAAGCCCUGGGCUCAACCUGGGAACUGCAUUCGAUACUGGCUAGCUAGAGUGCAAGAGAGGGAGGUAGAAUUCCAUGUGUAGCGGUGAAAUGCGUAGAUAUAUGGAGGAAUACCAGUGGCGAAGGCGGCCUCCUGGCUUGACACUGACGCUGAGGUGCGAAAGCGUGGGGAGCAAACGGGAUUAGAUACCCCGGUAGUCCACGCCGUAAACGAUGUCUACUAGCCGUUGGGAAACUUGAUUUCUUAGUGGCGCAGCUAACGCACUAAGUAGACCGCC